GUGAACAUUACAAGCAAAGAGAGAAUUCGGGAGGUCGUUGAAGUCAAUUAUUUCAUGAAAAUCUUCUUCUGUAAAACAUCUCUUUAAAUCGCUGUCUCCGUUUAUAGAGUAGAGUAAGAACUGUCCUCCAUCCUCUGGGAUGCAGCCAUAGUGCCCGAGGCCUCGCAUUCCAAACAAGUAGGAGUCUCCCCUCAUCCCUGCUGCGGCUGCCUCGGCCUCCCCGCCGCUGCCGCCCCGUCGCCGCCGCCGAGCUCCGGCCGAGCGCCCCGCUCCUGCUGGCUGCCCG
rnacentral:lncRNA from 1 species